UACAGAGGGGGCAAGCGUUGUUCGGAUUUACUGGGCGUAAAGGGCGCGUAGGCGGCUUAACAAGUCACUUGUGAAAUCUUCGGGCUUAACUCGGAACGGCCAAGUGAAACUGUCAAGCUAGAGUGCAGAAGGGGCAAUCGGAAUUCUUGGUGUAGCGGUGAAAUGCGUAGAUAUCAAGAGGAACACCUGAGGUGAAGACGGGUUGCUGGGCUGACACUGACGCUGAGGCGCGAAAGCCAGGGGAGCAAACGGG
rnacentral:rRNA from 1 species